UAUUGGGUUGGCCAAAAAAUUCAUUUAGGUUUUCCUGUAUGAUGUUAUGGAAAAACCCAAGUGAACUUUUUGGCCAAUACAAU
rnacentral:miRNA from 1 species